GNAAGAAGGCCUUAGGGUUGUAAAGCACUUUCAAUUGGAAGGAAAAACUCAUGGCCAAUACCCGUGAGCUUGACAUUACCUUUANAAGAAGCACCGGCUAACUCCGUGCCAGCAGCCGCGGUAAUACGGAGGGUGCAAGCGUUAAUCGGAAUUACUGGGCGUAAAGCGUGCGUAGGCGGCUCGCUAAGUCAGAUGUGAAAGCCCCGGGCUCAACCUGGGAACGGCAUUUGAAACUGGCAAGCUAGAGUUUAGGAGAGGAGAGUGGAAUUUCAGGUGUAGCGGUGAAAUGCGUAGAGAUCUGAAGGAACACCAGUGGCGAAGGCGACUCUCUGGCCUAAAACUGACGCUGAGGUACGAAAGCGUGGGUAGCAAACAGGAUUAGAUACCCUGGUAGUCCACGCCGUAGACGAUGUCAACUAGCCGUUGGCUCUCUUAGAGAGUUAGUGGCGCAGCUAACGCAUUAAGUUAACCGCCUGGGGAGUACGGCCGCAAGGUUAAAACUCAAAUGAAUUGACGGGGGCCCGCACAAGCGGUGGAGCAUGUGGUUUAACUCGAUGCAACGCGAAGAACCUUACCUACCCUUGACAUCCAGAGAAUCUGUUAGAGAUAGUAGAGUGCUUUCGGGACUCUGAGACCGGUGCUGCAUGGCUGUCCGCAGCUCCGUGUCGUGAGAUGUGGGGUAAGUCCCGUACGAGGGCAACCUUAUCCUUAGUGGCCGGGGUCAUGGGGGAC
rnacentral:rRNA from 1 species